rnacentral:rRNA from 1 species
AUGGCGGCGAAGGCGGUGCAGUGGCCGGUGAUGGUGGUGGUGGUGAUCAUGGCCGUGAUGGCGGCGCGCGUGGGGGCGGACAUGGACGCGGACCGGAGCGAGUGCGCGGAGCAGCUGGUGGGGCUGGCGCCGUGCCUGCAGUACGUGCAGGGGCAGGCACGGUCGCCGGCGCCGGACUGCUGCGGCGGGCUGAGCCAGGUGCUGGACAAGAGCCCCAAGUGCCUGUGCGUGCUGGUCAAGGACAAGGACGACCCCAACCUGGGCAUCAAGAUCAACGCCUCCCUCGCGCUCGCCCUCCCCUCCGCCUGCGGCAACACCAAGGCCAACGUCUCCCACUGCCCACGUACGUCUCCCUCCUAUUCCUACCUACCUACAUGCAUAUGA